GGACGCUGCCCACCUGCCAGGGCCCCGCUGGCGCCCGGGCCUCUCCCUGCACACCCCCCGCAGCCGUCCUCAGCUGCAGCUCUGCAGGUGCGGGUGCUGGAAACCUCUCUUCUGGUCCCCCUGGCUUCUCCCAGGCCAGGCAGCUGCCCUCCAGUGUGCCCCAGGCAGGAAGGGGUGUAACUCCUACCCAGAUCAAGACAGAGGAUGGUUACAGCACUCCAGGAAUUUCCCCCUUCCCAUGAGUGCUCCCCCAGGGACCAGCGUAGGUGCGUUUCCUGUCUCCUUAAACGUCACGUAAUGGGAGACAGACAGUGGCGCUCAUCCAUGCUGUUGGGUGUAGCAGUUCAUUCUUUUCAUUGCCAUUAUUCCAUUUUAGGAAUAGAUCACUAUUUAUUUAUCCAUGCUGCUGUUGAUGGACAGCAUCAUUGUUUCAAGCUUGGGGGUUUAGUAAAGCUACAGUGAACAUUC